rnacentral:lncRNA from 1 species
GAGAAUGCGCGGGUCGAGUGCUGUAGUUCGAUUUUUGCGUGUGUGCGUUGCUUGCGGCCUUUGUGCCUUUUUAUUCUUUGCUUACCUUUAUGAUAUAAAGACCUUAUUUCUUACAAGGAGGAAAAGACCGCUGACUUCAGAAACAGCGGGAACCCCAGCUCGUCCCCGAUGACAAAAUUGGGGUCUGGACGUGUGCAAGGACUUUUCCAAAGUCAGCUGGAAAGGAGCUGCUUAGCUGAGAGGUUCUGGCUCCAGAGUCUCCUGUGAAGUUGCAGUCAAGAUGUCUGCUGGGACCCCAGUCAUUUGAAGCCCUGUCUGGGGCAGGAGAAUCUAGGUCCAAAAUGGCCGUUGCAGGAGUCCUUAUCCACACCAUGUGGGACCUCUUCAUAGAUGUUCGAGUGUCCUCAUGGCAUGGCCACUGGCUUUCCCCAAACUUCAAACUAUGCAUAUGGGCCAGGCGCGGUAGCUCAUGCCUGUAAUCCCAACACUUUGGAAGGUCAAGGUGGGCAGAUCAUUUGAGGCCAGGAGUUUGAGACCAGCCUGGCCAACAUGGUGAAACUCCGUCUCUACUAAAAAAUACAAAAUAAUUAGCUGGGUGUCGUGGAGCAUACCUGUAAUCCCAGCUGCUCCGGAGGCUGAGGCACGAGAAUCGUCUGAACCCAGGUGAUUCUGCACUCUACUUGGGCUCUGUCUCAAAACAACAACAACAGCAACAACAAAAACUGUGGUAUUUUUAAUGAACUAAAUAUUAAUCUGCUAACACAGCAUAGGUUUUAUGAUUACUGCAAUUCAAAAGUCAUAAUAAAUUUUAAAACAAAUCCUCCUGUACCUGUUGUGGUGCAUGCAGAAACUUUUCCUGUUCAACACACUUAUAUGGCACUAUAUAGGGAUAUACCAAAUAGCUCAGGUACAUAGUGAAUACAACUUUAACACUUAUAUUGAAAUGCUAAUCUUACUUGCCAAUAUUAGUGGCACAUUAGCAUAAUUUAACUUUUAUAAAAUUAUGGAAAACAGUUUAAAAUUAUUCUCCCUAAUAUUAGCAAAUUGCAUUAAUGGCAUGUACCGUGUGCCAGUUUGUUUCCAAAUAAACAAAAUGUACCUUGAUAUGCCACUUCAGAGCCAGCAGAGGGAGCUCAUACUUUUUUAUUGUUUUCAACUUACUGAAGAAAAUUUGCUUUUAAAAGCUACUGUGUUAUAACCAAUGAGAACCAAGAAAA